UACGUAGGGUGCAAGCGUUGUCCGGAAUUAUUGGGCGUAAAGAGCUCGUAGGCGGUCUGUUGCGUCCGCUGUGAAAACUCGGGGCUUAACCCCGAGCCUGCAGUGGAUACGGGCAGACUAGAGGUAGGUAGGGGAGAAUGGAAUUCCCGGUGUAGCGGUGAAAUGCGCAGAUAUCGGGAGGAACACCGGUGGCGAAGGCGGUUCUCUGGGCCUUACCUGACGCUGAGGAGCGAAAGCGUGGGGAGCGAACAGGAUAGAAACCCU
rnacentral:rRNA from 1 species